AGUCGAGCGGACAGAUGGGAGCUUGCUCCCUGAUGUUAGCGGCGGACGGGUGAGUAACACGUGGGUAACCUGCCUGUAAGACUGGGAUAACUCCGGGAAACCGGGGCUAAUACCGGAUGCUUGUUUGAACCGCAUGGUUCAGACAUAAAAGGUGGCUUCGGCUACCACUUACAGAUGGACCCGCGGCGCAUUAGCUAGUUGGUGAGGUAACGGCUCACCAAGGCGACGAUGCGUAGCCGACCUGAGAGGGUGAUCGGCCACACUGGGACUGAGACACGGCCCAGACUCCUACGGGAGGCAGCAGUAGGGAAUCUUCCGCAAUGGACGAAAGUCUGACGGAGCAACGCCGCGUGAGUGAUGAAGGUUUUCGGAUCGUAAAGCUCUGUUGUUAGGGAAGAACAAGUGCCGUUCAAAUAGGGCGGCACCUUGACGGUACCUAACCAGAAAGCCACGGCUAACUACGUGCCAGCAGCCGCGGUAAUACGUAGGUGGCAAGCGUUGUCCGGAAUUAUUGGGCGUAAAGGGCUCGCAGGCGGUUUCUUAAGUCUGAUGUGAAAGCCCCCGGCUCAACCGGGGAGGGUCAUUGGAAACUGGGGAACUUGAGUGCAGAAGAGGAGAGUGGAAUUCCACGUGUAGCGGUGAAAUGCGUAGAGAUGUGGAGGAACACCAGUGGCGAAGGCGACUCUCUGGUCUGUAACUGACGCUGAGGAGCGAAAGCGUGGGGAGCGAACAGGAUUAGAUACCCUGGUAGUCCACGCCGUAAACGAUGAGUGCUAAGUGUUAGGGGGUUUCCGCCCCUUAGUGCUGCAGCUAACGCAUUAAGCACUCCGCCUGG
rnacentral:rRNA from 1 species